rnacentral:rRNA from 1 species
GACGAACGCUGGCGGCGUGCUUAACACAUGCAAGUCGAACGGAAAGGCCCUGCUUUUGUGGGGUGCUCGAGUGGCGAACGGGUGAGUAACACGUGAGUAACCUGCCCUUGACUUUGGGAUAACUUCAGGAAACUGGGGCUAAUACCGGAUAGGAGCCCCUGCUGCACGGUGGGGGUUGGAAAGUUUCGGCGGUUGGGGAUGGACUCGCGGCUUAUCCGCAUGUUGGUGGGGUAGUGGCUUACCAAGCCUUUGACGGGUAGCCGGCCUGAGAGGGUGACCGGCUACAUUGGUACAGAGACACGGCCGAGACUCCUACGGGAGGCAGCAGUAGGGAAUAUUCAACAACGGGCGGAAGCCUGACGCAGCAACGCCGCGUGCGGAAUGACGGCCGUCGGGUUAUAAACCGCUUUCGCCUGUGACGAAGCGUGAGUGACGGUAAUGGGUAAAGAAGCACCGGCUAACUACGUG